rnacentral:rRNA from 1 species
CCUACGAGAGGCAGCAGUGGGGGAUAUUGCACAAUGGGGGAAACCCUGAUGCAGCGACGCCGCGUGUGGGAAGACGGUCCUCUGGAUUGUAAACCACUGUCCCCAGGGACGAAGAUGACGGUACCUGGGGAGGAAGCUCCGGCUAACUACGUGCCAGCAGCCGCGGUAAUACGUAGGGAGCGAGCGUUGUCCGGAAUUACUGGGUGUAAAGGGAGCGUAGGCGGGACUGCAAGUUGGGUGUCAAAUCUACCGGCUCAACCGGUAGCCGCACUGAAAACUGCAGUUCUUGAGUGAAGUAGAGGCAGGCGGAAUUCCUAGUGUAGCGGUGAAAUGCGUAGAUAUUAGGAGGAACACCAGUGGCGAAGGCGGCCUGCUGGGCUUUUACUGACGCUGAGGCUCGAAAGUGUGGGGAGCAAACAGGAUUAGAUACCCCGGUAGUC